UCGUGCUUCCGCUCGAGCCGCUCGCAGCUUGGUCGCUGCCCCAUACACCGUCGCAGGAGCCGUCAAGAUACGAAGCCCAAUUCUUGAUGCUACAUUUUUAUGGGAGUUACGGCCAACAGCAAAAUUCAGAGCUCGAAGUCCGCUCUGUGUUUCUUAAUUGUGACCUUGAGGACGUCAUCUCCUUUCCCGAUAAUGAAG